rnacentral:rRNA from 1 species
GAUGAACGCUGGCGGCGUGCCUAAUACAUGCAAGUCGAGCGAACGGACGAGAAGCUUGCUUAUCUGAUGUUAGCGGCGGACGGGUGAGUAACACGUGGAUAACCUACCUAUAAGACUGGGAUAACUUCGGGAAACCGUAGCUAAUACCGGAUAAUAUUUUGAACCGCAUGGUUCAAAAGUGAAAGACGGUCUUGCUGUCACUUAUAGAUGGAUCCGCGCUGCAUUAGCUAGUUGGUAAGGUAACGGCUUACCAAGGCAACGAUGCAUAGCCGACCUGAGAGGUUGAUCGGCCACACUGGAACUGAGACACGGUCCAGACUCCUACGGGAGGCAGCAGUAGGGAAUCUUCCGCAAUGGGCGAAAGCCUGACGGAGCAACGCCGCGUGAGUGAUGAAGGUCUUCGGAUCGUAAAACUCUGUUAUUAGGGAAGAACAUAUGUGUAAGUAACUGUGCACAUCUUGACGGUACCUAAUCAGAAAGCCACGGCUAACUACGUG